GGGCCGGGUCACCAGACGGCGGCCGAGCCGGGGGGAGCGCGGUGCCGCUGCUGCGCUCUCUCGUCAAUCAGUCGCGUCGUCUGCUCCCCUGUGUGAUCUAGACUUCGCUUACUACUUCUCUCUGUUACAAUUAGUGUUUGGUUUGCAGCAUUAUCGGUUGUUUGUGCGAUCAUUGUAAUUAUCACAAUUGCUGGUAAUGCAUUGACUCAUGGCCUACACGCGAACCUUCUGCAAUUGACUAAGCUGAAAUCUCAUUCUCGACUGACCGUUCAUUGUCUCACGAACCGACUGAAUUUUGCGGCGGUAUGCAGGCCCCUCCACCGGCGUACGCUCCGGCACCGCCUGGCCAGACGGGCCCUGGCGUCUUCCAACAGGCCGGGGCUGCGCCUCCGCCGCCACCUCCGCCGCCUCCCGGAGGACCCGCCGGCUUCAUGAUGGCUCCAAUGAUGGGAAUGGGUCAGCAGCAGCAGCAGCAACAACAACAGAGCACCACCAACUCCAGCAGCACCACGGUGGUGGUGGCUGGCGGCGGCGGCGGCGGCGGUGGUCCUCGGUCGCCCUUCCUCUGCCCCGUCUGCCAGACAGGCGUCAUGGAGACCAGCUACACCUUCUGCGGGGUGCUGCUGGCCAUCGUCCUCUUCCCCAUCGGCAUCAUCUGCUGCCUCUACCUGAGCGGGCGCACCUGCUCCGCCUGUGGAUACUCGCGAUAGCGCCGCCUGUGGAUACUCGCGAUAGCGCCGCCUGUGGAUACUCGCGAUAGCGCCGCCUCGGCCUGUGGAUACUCGCGAUAGCGCCGCCUCGGCCGAUCUCUGAACACGACGCCAGGCUCUCCGAGGGCGCGCCAGAGCUUCACGCUAACCGCUCACUGAUCUCAGACAUUCGCUCGAACGGAUUCGGUUGAUGGUCAUGGUUUGUGAAGCCAUGAUUUGUGUAGCGACUUCGGCAUACAAUUCAACGAUGUGCGCACGGAAAUCAAUAGCAGAUUCAUCAUGUUACACUGCAAAACUGAUAGUGUGGUGGAAGUCCUCAUUGCAUUGCGUGCUCGAGUCUCGAAUCUAGGGUGUUGUAACAAAGAUGUUAUCACAAUGUUGCCGGUAAUACCAUACGCUUAAUGGUCACUUC
rnacentral:misc_RNA from 1 species